CCUACGGGAGGCAGCAGUGAGGAAUAUUGGUCAAUGGGCGGGAGCCUGAACCAGCCAAGUCGCGUGAGGGAAGACGGUCCUACGGAUUGUAAACCUCUUUUGCCGGGGAGCAACGGGGUCCUUGCGAGGGCCCGAUGAGAGUACCCGGAGAAAAAGCAUCGGCUAACUCCGUGCCAGCAGCCGCGGUAAUACGGAGGAUGCGAGCGUUAUCCGGAUUUAUUGGGUUUAAAGGGUGCGCAGGCGGAGGUGCAAGUCAGCGGUCAAAUUGCGGGGCUCAACCCCGCACUGCCGUUGAAACUGCAUCC
rnacentral:rRNA from 1 species